CCUUUGACGCCCGCGCGCCUCGAGCGAGGCGUCCCCCGGCGCGGGGCCGCGCGCGGGAGAGCCCGAGUGCAGCCUUAGCGUCCCCGAGAGUCUCGAACGCCCCGACGACCCCCGCGUCUCCGAACCCCGGACUCGGAGCCCAGGAGCGCCAGGGCGGCAGGCGGGCAGUAGGAGGCGGCGGCGCCGGAGCGGAACCACCGCGAGUGCCCCCGUGCCGCCCGGCCGGCUGCAGCGGAGGGAACUGGAGCAGCCGGGGGGCCGGGGCCGGGCCGAGAACAACGCGGAGGAAGCCCCCACGGAGGCCCCCCGGGACCGCGCCUGCUGCCGGGUUGCGCUCCGCGCCCCUCUUGCGGAUUCCCUGUAAGGAGCCCCUGCUGGUGCACCAGAACUACCGGGGGCCAUCUGCCCAACUGCCCCAGACUCUGGCAGUGGGGCCCCCGAUGGCAGUGGGCACCUCCCCGUGAAACCUGCCAAACUGGACGCCACAGCUCUGCACGACGACACUUUGGCCAACUCCGUGCCCCCUUCGGAGGCAUGCAACCAUGCAGUCCUAGCCUGCAGCCCGGGCAUCCCUGAGGAACACUACAUAAGCGAGGCUGUGGAAGAUGCUCCCAGCUACAGAGGGUACCGGGAUGCCUGCACCAUUACUGAUGUGUGCAACAG